rnacentral:rRNA from 1 species
GUGCCAGCAGCCGCGGUAAUACAGAGGGUGCAAGCGUUAAUCGGAAUUACUGGGCGUAAAGCGUGCGUAGACGGUUGCGUAAGUCAGAUGUGAAAGCCCCGGGCUCAACCUGGGAAUUGCAUUUGAGACUGCGUAGCUAGGGUGCGGAAGAGGGAAGCGGAAUUUCCGGUGUAGCGGUGAAAUGCGUAGAUAUCGGAAGGAACACCAGUGGCGAAAGCGGCUUCCUGGUCCAGCACCGACGUUCAGGCACGAAAGCGUGGGGAGCAAACAGGAUUAGAUACCCUGGUAGUCC